UACGGAGGGGGGCAAGCGUUUGUUCGGAAUUAUUGGGCGUAAAGGGCGCGUAGGCGGUCGGGUAAGUCUGAUGUGAAAUCUCACAGCUUAACUGUGAAACUGCAUUGGAUACUAUCCGGCUCGAGGAAUGGAGGGGAGACUGGAAUACUUGGUGUAGCAGUGAAAUGCGUAGAUAUCAAGUGGAACACCAGUGGCGAAGGCGAGUCUCUGGACAUUUCCUGACGCUGAGGCACGAAAGCCAGGGGAGCAAACGGG
rnacentral:rRNA from 1 species